rnacentral:rRNA from 1 species
UACGGAGGGUGCAAGCGUUAAUCGGAAUUACUGGGCGUAAAGCGUGCGCAGGCGGUUUGUUAAGUCUGCUGUGAAAUCCCCGAGCUCAACUUGGGAAUUGCAGUGGAUACUGGCAAGCUGGAGUACGGUAGAGGAAGGUGGAAUUCCCGGUGUAGCAGUGAAAUGCGUAGAGAUCGGGAGGAACACCAGUGGCGAAGGCGGCCUUCUGGACGGUGACUGACGCUGAGGCGCGAAAGCGUGGGGAGCAAACGGG